UAUGUACCUGAUGAAUAAGCAUCGGCUAACUCCGUGCCAGCAGCCGCGGUAAUACGGAGGAUGCGAGCGUUAUCCGGAUUUAUUGGGUUUAAAGGGUGCGUAGGCGGGCUUUUAAGUCAGCGGUGAAAGGUUCGAGCUUAACUCGUACACUGCCGUUGAAACUGAGAGUCUUGAGUGCAAAUGAGGUAGGCGGAAUGUGUUGUGUAGCGGUGAAAUGCAUAGAUAUAACACAGAACUCCAAUUGCGAAGGCAGCUUACUGGGAUGCAACUGACGCUGAUGCACGAAAGCGUGGGUAUCAAACAGGAUUAGAUACCCUGGUAGUCCACGCAGUAAACGAUGAAUACUAACUGUUUGCGAUAUACAGUAAGCGGUACAGCGAAAGCGUUAAGUAUUCCACCUGGGGAGUACGUUCGCAAGAAUGAAACUCAAAGGAAUUGACGGGGGCCCGCACAAGCGGGAGGAACAUGUGGUUUAAUUCGAUGAUACGCGAGGAACCUUACCCGGGCUUGAAAUGCAGACGACGAUAGUUGAAAGACUAUUUCCAGCAAUGG
rnacentral:rRNA from 1 species